UACUUUUAAAUAAGGAAGAGUUUGUGGUGGAUGCCUUGGGUCUGGAAGUCGAUGAAGGACGUGAUUACCUGCGAUAAGCCUCGUAGAGCUGGAAAUAUGCUAUGAAACGGGGAUUUCCGAAUGGGGAAACCUAACUAUGGUAAUGCAUAGUUGCUUAUGUCUGAAUACAUAGGACAUAAAGCGAGAUACCUUGUGAACUGAAACAUCUUAGUAGCAAGAGGAAAAGAAAAUAAAUAAUGAUUUCUUUAGUAGCGGCGAGCGAACGAGAAAGAGCCCAAACCAUUUUAAAUGGGGUUAUAGGACAGACUACAUAGAGUUACAAAAUUUAAUAAUAGCAGAAGCUUUUGGGAAGAAGCGGCACAGAAGGUGAUACCCCUGUAUGCGAAAUUAUUAAAUCUCUUGACUGUAUCCUGAGUAGGGCGGGGCACGUGAAACCCUGUCUGAAUUUGCCGGGACCACCCGGUAAGGCUAAAUACUAACCAGACACCGAUAGCGAACUAGUACCGUGAGGGAAAGGUGAAAAGAACCCCGAGAGGGGAGUGAAAUAGACUCUGAAACCACUUACUUACAAUUAGUCAGAGCCCGUUAAUGGGUGAUGGCGUACAUCUUGCAGUAUGGACCGGCGAGUUACUUUAGCAUGCAAGGUUAAGCAGAUAAAAGCGGAGCCGUAGAGAAAUCGAGUCUUAAUAGGGCGAUUAGUAUGCUUGAGUACACCCGAAACCAGGUGACCUAUUCAUGAGCAGACUGAAACUUAGC
rnacentral:rRNA from 1 species